ACCCUUCAAAGAGUGCGUAACAGCUCACUAGUCGAGUGACCCUGCGCCGAAAAUGUACCGGGGCUAAGCAUGCUACCGAAGCUGCGGAUUUGUAGGAAUACAAGUGGUAGGGGAGCGUUCUAUGCAGCGUAGAAGCCAUAUCGUGAGGAGUGGUGGAGCGCAUAGAAGUGAGAAUGCCGGUGUGAGUAGCGAGAUGUAGGUGAGAAUCCUACACACCGAUAGCCCAAGGAUUCCAGGGGAAGGUUCGUCCGCCCUGGGUAAGUCGGGACCUAACGCGAGGCCGAAAGGCGUAGUGGAUGGAAAACAGGCAGAUAUUCCUGUACCCGCGAUGGAAAUGAAGGAAUGACGGAGAAGGUAAGUAUGACCCACUAAAUGGAUUGUGGGCGAAGCGUAUAGCAGGAUGGCAGUGAAAUGCGUCAUCAGGAUGUAAAGCGUGAAAGGUAAGGGAACGCCCAAGGGCAAGUACCGAAGCAUAUGUAGCCAGCUUCCAGGAAAAGUUUCUAGUAUAUUCCAUAGCGGCCCGUACCAAAACCGACACAGGUGGGCAAGGAGAGGAUCCUGAGGUGAGCGAGAGAACUGUUGCCAAGGAACUCGGCAAAAUGACUCCGUAAGUUAGCGAGAAGGAGUGCUUAUGAAAGUAAGCCGCAGUGAAGAGGCCCAAGCGACUGUUUAACUAAAACACAGCUCUCUGCAAAGUCGCAAGACGAAGUAUAGGGGGUGACGCCUGCCCGGUGCUGGAAGGUUAAGAGGAUUUGUCAGUAGCGAUACGAAGCAAUGAAUUGAAGCCCCAGUGAACGGCGGCCGUAACUAUAACGGUCCUAAGGUAGCGAAAUUCCUUGUCAGGUAAGUUCUGACCCGCACGAAAGGCGUAACGAUUUGGGCGCUGUCUCGGCAGCAGACUCGGUGAAAUCUUAGUACCUGUGAAAAUGCAGGUUACCCGCAACUAGACGGAAAGACCCCAUGGAGCUUUACUGCAGCCUGAUAUUGAGUUUCGAUCAGAGAUGUACAGGAUAGGUGGGAGACAAAGAGACAUGCACGCCAGUGUAUGAGGAGUCGCUGUUGGGAUACCACUCUUGUCUGAUUGGAAUUCUAACCUGCAUCCCUAAGCGGGAUGAGGGACCGUGUCAGGUGGGCAGUUUGACUGGGGCGGUCGCCUCCCAAAGAGUAACGGAGGCGCCCAAAGGUACGCUCAGAUUGGAUGGAAAUCAAUCGACGAGUGCAAAUGCAGAAGCGUGCUUGACUGUGAGACAAACAAGUCGAACAGGGACGAAAGUCGGGAUUAGUGAUCCGGCGGUGCCGAAUGGAAGGGCCGUCGCUCAACGGAUAAAAGCUACCCUGGGGAUAACAGGCUGAUCUCCCCCAAGAGUUCACAUCGACGGCGAGGUUUGGCACCUCGAUGUCGGCUCAUCGCAUCCUGGAGCUGAAGUCGGUUCCAAGGGUUGGGCUGUUCGCCCAUUAAAGCGGUACGCGAGCUGGGUUCAGAACGUCGUGAGACAGUUCGGUCCCUAUCUGUUGUGGGCGAAGGAGAUUUGAGGAGAGCUGUCCUUAGUACGAGAGGACCGGGAUGGACCUACCGCUGGUGCACCGGUUGUUCCGCCAGGAGCAUAGCCGGGUAGCUAAGUAGGGAAGGGAUAAGCGCUGAAAGCAUCUAAGCGCGAAGCCUACUCCAAGAUGAGAUCUCCCAUUCGCAAGAAGUAAGACCCCUUGAAGACGACGAGGUAGAUAGGUCAGGGAUGGAAGCAUAGCGAUAUGUGAAGUUGACUGAUACUAAUAGGUCGAGGACUUAAUC
rnacentral:rRNA from 1 species